rnacentral:rRNA from 1 species
UAGGGGGCAAGCGUUAUCCGGUUUUACUGGGUGUAAAGGGAGCGUAGACGGCGCGGCAAGUCUGAAGUGAAAGGCAGGGGCUUAACCCCUGAACUGCUUUGGAAACUGCCAUGCUAGAGUGCUGGAGAGGUAAGUGGAAUUCCUAGUGUAGCGGUGAAAUGCGUAGAUAUUAGGAGGAACACCAGUGGCGAAGGCGGCUUACUGGACAGUAACUGACGUUGAGGCUCGAAAGCGUGGGGAGCAAA